rnacentral:lncRNA from 1 species
AGCCUCCCGCCCGCCGCCUCUGUCUCCCUCUCUCCACAAACUGCCCAGGAGUGAGUAGCUGCUUUCGGUCCGCCGGACACACCGGACAGAUAGACGUGCGGACGGCCCACCACCCCAGCCCGCCAACUAGUCAGCCUGCGCCUGGCGCCUCCCCUCUCCAGGCCUUGCCCCCAAACCUGUACUGUCCCGGAGGAGGUUGGGAGGUGGAGGCCCAGCAUCCCGCGCAGAUGACACCAUCAACCGCCAGAGUCCCAGACACCGGUUUUCCUAGAAGCCCCUCACCCCCACUGGCCCACUGGUGGCUAGGUCUCCCCUUAUCCUUCUGGUCCAGCGCAAGGAGGGGCUGCUUCUGAGGUCGGUGGCUGUCUUUCCAUUAAAGAAACACCGUGCAACGUG